rnacentral:tRNA from 1 species
UACUUCUUGGUGUAUGAUGCACAGGAAUUUUUGAUGUUCCUAGAACAGUUUAACUCUGUAAUUAGUAA